rnacentral:lncRNA from 1 species
GGGAUAUCUCCCCUCCCCCGCUCCCUCUGUCUCCCUCUCUCCCUCCCCUCUCCCCUCUCCCAUGAGAGGACACAGCCAGAAGGAGACCGUCUGCAAGCCAAGGAGAGAAGCCUCACCAGCCAUGGAAUCUAUAGGCACCUUGAUGUUGGACUUCCAGCCUCCAGAGCUGAUUUUUCAUGGGCCGAUCUGCUGAAUUCAGCCUAGGAGCUGAGACCAACAUCUGAGUCUCUUCAGCACACAAGUUUGAAAGAAGUCCUAGCAACUUCAAGCUCAGAACUACGGGUGGCAGCAGCUCCCUCUUGACGUCGAAGCCUCCCAUUCCAGAGAGAGUCAAGGCCUGGAUCAAACAAAGCCCACAAGCACCGAUGACUGAGCUGCUGACUACCCCCAGCAUCUCCAACUCAACCUCCUCUUUCUGCCUCUACCCAAAUUUUAAAACUUUCAAACAUGGGUUUAAAAAUGGUAAUGAGUAAAGUUGCAUCCAAGUGUAUCAAAUAAAACUAAAUAUCCAUAAAUGCUGUAAUAAUUCCUGCUUUGAUGCUGAACUAAAGAAUUUUCUGCCAGGCGUGGUGGCUAACACCUGUAAUCCCAGCACUUUGGGAGGCCAAGGCAGGUGGAUCACGAGGUCAGGAGUUCAAGACCUGCCUGGCC